CGAGGGGACCCUGUGGAGGAGGGCAGCCAGCCAGGCAGAGAAGGCUUCAGGCUGCCUGAAGCCUUGGCCCAACUGGGGCUGGUGUGGGGCACAGGGGCAAGGUCAUGACCUACAGGAAGGCAGCACAUGGGGCUUUAGACGUCAAAGGCAACAAAAGCCGCCAGAGACACAGACCUGCCUGGGAGGAUCCAAGUCCGGGCACCCGGGGACCCCGGGCACUGGCGCGGUAGAUGUCCCGGAUUCUUGGCUGGUGGGUGUGGAUGGGCUGGGUGUUGGGGUGGGUGUGGAUGGGCACGACCAGUUGAAGAACUCAAGCGUGCACUCCAGCGAGCAGUUCACGUAGUAGCACGUGUCUCCAUACGUGCCGCUGUACACCACCUCGCCUGCAAGGGGAGAGACCAGUGCUGAUGCCGCCCCCGAGCACUCAGGCUGGCUCCCCCAGAGGCCAGGAGAGAGAAGCCCACACCUCCCACUGCCCCUGAUUUGUGGCUGCAGCUCAUGGGGCUGGCCAUGGGGACAUCCACCCAGGCCCAGCACCCAGCUUCCCAAGCAAGCUCCCAGUGUAGACCUCCGAGUGACCCCCAAGCACCGGGAACCCAAGCGCCACCGGCCUGUGCUGCUGAAUCAGAAGGAAGAGCUUGCAUACCUGGGGCGUAGUAGGUCCCAUUCAAGAAGCAGCAUGGAACAAUGCCGGAGGGGGGAAGAGUGGAGGCGCCUGUCUGAAGUCCCAGCAGCUGAGCCGCGCCCCUGAAGGGAGGAGCAAGCAAGAGGACAGAACCACACCGGUGCCCACGUGCCUGGAAGGGUGGUGCCUCCCACUGGAGUGACCGUCGGCACUGUCAGCGUCGGGCUCAGGGGUGUGAUGGAGGGCUCCACGGCUGUGCUGCUGGUAGGAGGUGUGCCAGUGGGUGUUGCACUUGGGGUCCCUGUCGUGGUGGUGGUGGGGGUGGUGGUCUCUGUGGUGGUGGGUGUUGGGGUUGGGGUCUCUGUUGUAGUGCUGGUGGGUGUUGGGGUUGGGGUCCCUGUGGUUGUGGUUGUGGUGGGGGCGGUGGUCUCUGUG
rnacentral:lncRNA from 1 species